AAAGCAAUCUGCUGGAUGAUUUGAAAAGUGUAAUGAAAACAAAUGACAUUGUUCGAUACAGGGUGUAUGAGAGCCACCUGUAUAGAAAUGGUGACAUCACUGGCAUAUACUCAUCAUGGACGACAGUAUCUUGCUCAAGAAGGAGUAAUUGACCAAAUUUCUAAUAUAAUUGUUGGGGCAGAUUCAGACCCUUUCUCUAGCUUCUAUCUGCCAGGUAAGAAACACUGAUGCCUAUGGAAAUGAUGGUGCGUGUUUUAUUUCUGAGUUAUCUCUGACAUCAGGGGGUUGGGGUAGGGAGUGGACAGGGAUUGUUUUCCUUUAGAGCUGAUUUCCUUAAUGAGCUGAUUUCGUUUAGAAGAUAUCUAGAGCCACCAAGUUCAAAUU
rnacentral:sRNA from 1 species